CACGUAGGGGGCGAGCGUUGUCCGGAUUUAUUGGGCGUAAAGAGCUCGUAGGCGGCUUGGUAAGUCAGGUGUGAAACCUCCAGGCUCAACCUGGAGACGCCACUUGAUACUGCCAUAGCUAGAGUCCGGUAGGGGAGCGUGGAAUUUCUGGUGUAGCGGUGAAAUGCGCAGAUAUCAGGAGGAACACCAGUGGCGAAGGCGGUGGUCUGGGCCGAUACUGACGCUGUAGAGCGAAAGCGUGGGGAGCGAACAGG
rnacentral:rRNA from 1 species